rnacentral:rRNA from 1 species
CUACGGGAGGCACCAGUGGGGAAUAUUGCACAAUGGGGGAAACCCUGAUGCAGCAACGCCGCGUGGAGGAUGACACAUUUCGGUGCGUAAACUCCUUUUAUAUAGGAAGAUAAUGACGGUACUAUAUGAAUAAGCGCCGGCUAACUCCGUGCCAGCAGCCGCGGUAAUACGGAGGGCGCAAGCGUUACUCGGAAUCACUGGGCGUAAAGAGCGUGUAGGCGGGUAGUUAAGUCAGAAGUGAAAUCCUAUGGCUCAACCAUAGAACUGCUUUUGAAACUGAUUACCUAGAAUAUGGGAGAGGUAGAUGGAAUUUCUGGUGUAGGGGUAAAAUCCGUAGAGAUCAGAAGGAAUACCGAUUGCGAAGGCGAUCUACUGGAACAUUAUUGACGCUGAGACGCGAAAGCGUGGGGAGCAAACAGGAUUAGAUACCCCGGUAGUC